AGCAUGGUUACUCAAGGAACGUAGUAAGCAAGACAUAUGCAGAAGUUAAAAGAAAAAGGAAGAUAGGUAAAAAUAUAAAGACAAACGAACGCCAAGCAGAGAAUGAAUAUAACGCACAAGAAGACAAAGACAGAUACGAAGUUCUUGCGGACGAAUUGGGAAGUACUUCGGGCGGUACAAAACUGCUUAAACAAAAAAGAAAGAAACCAGCCUACAGUGACAAAUUUACUAAAAAAUGUAAAAGACAAAUAUGAUACGAAAGAACAAGCAAGAGAAUAUGAAAUAUCCAUAACAAACGUACAUAAGCAGAGGGAAGAGGUAUACAUCAGUGCCACGACUAGAAACUUAGCAAGUAGACUAAAGGAACAUAAGUCCGACAUAAGAAGAG
rnacentral:lncRNA from 1 species